rnacentral:rRNA from 1 species
AGUGAACGCUGGCGGUAGGCCUAACACAUGCAAGUCGAACGGCAGCACAGUAAGAGCUUGCUCUUACGGGUGGCGAGUGGCGGACGGGUGAGGAAUACAUCGGAAUCUACUUUUUCGUGGGGGAUAACGUAGGGAAACUUACGCUAAUACCGCAUACGACCCACGGGUGAAAGCAGGGGAUCUUCGGACCUUGCGCGAUUGAAUGAGCCGAUGUCGGAUUAGCUAGUUGGCGGGGUAAAGGCCCACCAAGGCGACGAUCCGUAGCUGGUCUGAGAGGAUGAUCAGCCACACUGGAACUGAGACACGGUCCAGACUCCUACGGGAGGCAGCAGUGGGGAAUAUUGGACAAUGGGCGCAAGCCUGAUCCAGCCAUACCGCGUGGGUGAAGAAGGCCUUCGGGUUGUAAAGCCCUUUUGUUGGGAAAGAAAAGCAGCAGGUUAAUACCCCGCUGUUCUGACGUUACCCAAAGAAUAAGCACCGGCUAACUUCGUG